rnacentral:lncRNA from 1 species
CAACUGUGUGGGAUAUUCAACGCUUUAUUAUAAAGUGGGCUUUGUUUAUGUGAUCAGCCAACCGGAGGGGAAUGGAAGUGUUCGGAGCACCUGUACGGGAGGCGAGGCUAAGCUCCAACGUUCAGGAGGCAAGUGUAUCAAAGGCGUUUUCAACAUAAUGGUGUUUCCAGCUUACGGUGGAUUUAUCGGACCUGGCCCUGCCGUGGGAGAGGAAGGUGUUGGUGUUUGCGGUCUUCUCUGGUUGCCAUGGCACCUCGGCCAGCCGAGGCGGAGAACUUCCACUCAAAAAAGCGUAACCGAGCCGUAGAAAAGUUAAGGGACUUAGUGAAAGCCUCCUUGGCAGUGCAGCGAGCGGUCCUAAAUUUCAGGAGUCUUGACAUUUAAUCCAGUCGCCUUUUCACCCCUGCCCCACGGGCUCCUUCAUACUUUGAAUUAUCUGUGCACUUAGAACCCACGAGCAGUAAAUUUAAAAAAUCCACUGUUUUCACUUAUAGCAUACAGCAGCUGCAUGUGGGAAUUUUUCAGCGUCUGUCUUGACACGGGCUGGUGCACAGCCAUGCACACACACAUGAACACUCCCUAGAGUUUCUGCCACGUCCUCUUCCUGGGGUGCUCUGCAUGAGACCCGAGGUUUUCAGUGGAAGCGUGUCACCCAUCAGAGAGCCUGGACCCCCUGAGAGCAGGUCUGGUCAUGGCCAGUGGAGCUCGGGAUGACGUGGACUGUGUAUGUAGGACAGCC